UUAGAUGUUAAAAAUGCCUUCCUCCAUGGCACUCUCAAUGAAACUGUCUAUUGUCAACAACCUUCGGGUUUUGAGAAUUCCUCUUCUCCUGAUUUUGUUUGUCGUCUUCACAAAUCUCUGUACGGUCUUAAACAAGCUCCUCGUGCUUGGUUUCAUCGCUUCACCACCUUUAUUCACACAAUAGGUUUUACCGCGUCUAAAUCUGAUUCAUCUCUCUUCAUUUUUCGUUCCUCCUCCCAUACUGCCUAUCUUCUCUUAUAUGUUGAUGACAUAAUUCUCACUGCCUCUUCUGAUUCCUUUUUACAACACAUUAUAUCUUCUCUUAAUCGUGAAUUUUCCAUGACUGAUCUCGGUCCUCUUCAUCACUUUCUUGGGAUCACUGUCUCCCGCACUUCAUCUACACUCUUUCCCUCUCAACGCCAGUACAUUCUUGACUUGCUCUCUCGUGCAGGGAUGACUGACUGUCAACCAUGUCGUACGCCGGUCGACGUUGGUACCAAGUUGUCGGCCGACGGUGAACCUUUUUCUGAUCCUACUCUAUAUCGCAGUAUCACUGGUGCUCUCCAAUAUGCCACACUCACUCGUCCUGAUAUAUCUUAUUCUGUUCAACAAGCGAGCUUAUAUAUGCAUGAUCCUCGUGUUCCUCAUUAUUCUCAUGUCAAGAGAAUACUUCGGUAUCUCAAAGGCACUAUUGAUCAUGGUCUUCUCCUUAAUUCUUCCUCUCCAACAAGCUUGACAGUUUAUUCUGAUGCAGACUGGGCGGGUUGUCUAGAUACUCGACGAUCUACAUCCGGCUUUUGUGUUUAUUUGGGUGACAAUCUUGUUUCUUGGUCUUCUAAAAGGCAGGUUACAGUUUCCAGAUCGUCUGCAGAAGCUGAAUACAGGUUUGUUGCUCAUUCUGUGGCCGAGGCGGUGUGGCUCCGUCAGCUUUUGGUUGAGCUCCAUCGACCAAUCGAGCGUGCAACUAUUGUUUAUUGCGACAAUAUUUCUGCAGUCUACAUGGCGUCCAAUCCUGUUCAGCAUCGACGCACCAAGCACAUCGAGAUUGAUAUUCAUUUUGUUCGUGAAAAAGUGGCUCUUGGCGAGGUCCGUGUGCUUCAUGUUCCUACCACUGCGCAAUUUGCUGAUAUUUUCACCAAGGGGCUCCCCACUGCAGCAUUCACU
rnacentral:rRNA from 1 species